rnacentral:misc_RNA from 1 species
AAGUCGUAACAAGGUUUCCGUAGGUGAACCUGCGGAAGGAUCAUUAUUGAAUGAAAUUGAGUGGGGUUGUUGCUGGCCUUUGAUUGGGUAAUGUGCACACCUCAUUCAACCCUUCUACACCUCUGUGCACUUCUCAUGGGUUUGGCUGUGUCUGAAAUAUUGACAUGGCUUCUCUCGUGUGUUUAUACAUACUAUGCAAGUUUCAGAAUGUCAAUGUGAUGUGUAAAAGCAUAUAAUACAACUUUCAACAACGGAUCUCUUGGUUCUC